CUGCACGAUUGUGACGAUAUGAAACUCAGCCCAGAUGAACUUGCACUAAAAUGCCGGUCAGAGAUAGAGAAGUUACAUUCCAUUAUCAGAGAAUAUCUGCGGUUGAAGAAGAGUCCAGGGGGCAAGCAACAUCAAAAACUUGGUUUCAACAAAGAGCUGGGUGAAUUAGUUCAUCAAGUUCUGCACGCAGAUUUUUACACUCUGCAGUGAGGGAAUCCAUUGCUUCCCCAGUGAUAUCCGUCUGUGUGGCAGUAGUCACCAUGCCUUCUUUUCAAAUCUCAGCGUGCACCACAUCUUCACCAGCAGGUUCCUGGGGGUGCUCAUCAGUGAGGAUCUCUCCUGGUCCACCAACCGCAUCACUGGCGAAGAAGGCCCAGCGCCACCUGUACUUCCUGCGGAAACUCAGGCGAGCGAGCGCUCCUCCGGCCGUCAUGACUACAUUUUACCGUGGCACCAUUGAGAGCGUCCUCUCCAGCUGUAUUGCUGUUUGGGGUGGCGGCUGCACUGACUACAACUUGAAGGCCCUGCAGCGCAUAGUGAACACGGAUGGUAAGAUUAUUGGUGCUUCACUCCCCUCCUUGAAAGACAUUUACAUCUCUCAUCUCACCCGCAAGGCGACCACGGUUGUGAGUAAUGUGAGUCACCCCGCUCACUCUUUGUUUGAGCUUCUGCCCUCUGGGAAGAGGUAUAGGAGCCUGCGCUCCCGCACCACCAGAGUCAACAACAGCCGCAUACUCCAGGCUGUUAGGAUCCUGAACUCUCUCCCCCCUUCUGCGUACCGUCCUGUACUUUCUUUUCGAAUCUCAGCGUGCACCACAUCUUCAGUUGAUCAUUUUCACAAGGGACAGACUGGGAAAUAUUGAAAAGUGCUACUGCUGCUGCCAAUGCCCUCUCGUGGUCUCUCUUGCGCUGCUUGAGAUUUUGUCUUCUCUCAAAGAUCUUCAUUGAACAUUUGAGUUUUCGUUUGUGAGGUGACUGGGUAUGCUCAAAUAUACUUGGCACAUAGUCUGGGGAUAGUGGAUCUUCGCUUUUUGCACCUGAAACAAUUAAACGAUCACAUUAUUCAUAAUGACUACCAUAAAUAAUUAAGCACGUUGUUGAAGGGGAUAUACCCAGUUCAAUUUGUUUCGUAAUGGCAUUUCAUAACUUGACAUAUUAAAAAACUGAAUAGAGUGAAAUCAUUCAGAUACUGUACCUGUCUGUUCAAGUUGCUACAAUUUUUAUUUUUCGUUUAUUUUUGCAUAAUGCUUCAUUUGAGUGGCUUGAAAACUUAACCAAUAAAAAUUUUAACCUUGUGCCAAUGGCUUGAAAACUUUACCAAUGUAGAUUUUACCUUGUGCCAAAUGAAGUAACAAAAAGCCUCUUGUUCAAAAAUGCUUCAUUAAAAAAAAACACAAGGUUCAUAAUUUUUUUUGAAAUUUCCUAAUGCAUUCACUCAUUAGAAUUGUUCAAUUCCAAUAUGAAGUUCAAUAUUUACAUUGAUAAAGUUAUCAAGCCAAUCAGAUGAAGCAUCAUGAAAAAAUAAACCAAAAAUAAAAACGGGAAGGUGAACUGAAGAAAUCAUCCCAUUCCCUGCCUUGCUCUUCUUGCUGCCUUUCUAAAAAUGCACCCAGCAUUUUCAACAAUCAUAUUUGUA